ACUUUCCCCUUUAAAGUGGAUAAGUUGAUUUAUUUUGUAUGAUAAUUGGAUUCUGAGUUUUUAAUACAUGCAUGGAUCGGAGGAUAGGGGAGGGGGGGGGGAGCAGAGGAUAAUUCAAUUUUUUAAAACUUACAUUGUACAACUAUCCAAAAUAUGUCUAAGCUCCCCCAGAAAUCGAUGAUAUCCCUGCCCUUUCCCUGGAAAAAAAUCCUGACCUAGCAUGUAAUUAUAUGUGAACUUAAAGAAAUAGAAGCCCAUUUUCUCUCUUGUAAGCAAUAGGAAAGAAUCAAAACAAAUCCAGAUUUUGGUCUCAAAUAAAGUAAAUAUUCAAUUCAUUGUUCAAGCAUAUAAAUAACUUAUAAAAACAUUGGUACCGUGGGUUACAGUGGUGUACAGUGUUUGUCAGUACCCUGUACAGUGGUGUAUAGUGGGGUACAGUGCUGGUCAGUGCCCCGUAUAGUGGUGUACAGUGAGGUACAGUGCUGGUCAGUGGGUAGGUACAGUGCUGUCCAGUGGAGUACAGUGGCUCUGUACAGUGUGGUAACAGUGUGGUACAGUAGAUCUGUACAGUGGGUGUACAGUGGAUUUACAGUAGGGUACAGUGAAUAUACAGUGGAUGUCAGACAAUGUCUGUCAAUUUUUGGGAAUAGCAGUGGCUUUUGAAUUCAGUCGAGAUUAAACAAAUCAGGAACAAUUACGACGAUUUUUAAUCUUAUUUUUCGGGACCAUGCGAUCUUCAACGUUUUUUGAGCAUGACAAAUAUAAAAUGCCAAAUGACACAUCUACAAUAUCUGUCUACAAUUUCCAAAAGUUUUAACUUGAAAUAUUUUACCGUUUAGGAGGAGAUCACUGGACAAUGCAAGCCGACCGUCUGAAAACGCGUCAUUAUCUCAAAAAAAGGACGUCAUCCAAAAAAAUGUUGUCAAGUUCAGAUCAAUGUGUAUCAAAUGUGCAAGUUUUAUAAAAAUCGGCCGAGCCAAUACGUUUUCGAGAAAUAAUUUAAUCAUAUUUUGUAGGAAAAAGAAAUAACAGUAGGAAAAAACGAACAAAACCAAUAUGGUCUUACUUUGAAAACGAAAGACCUUAAAGGGACUUAGACACGAUCUGAGAUCAAAAUUUUAUUUUUUAUCUUCAUGUAAUAAAUGGUUUACUUUUGCAUUUGUAAGAUUGACCAAUAUUUGAAUGUUAGAUGUCAAGUUACAAGCGAAAUACACAGACAAGAAUUAUUUUGUUAUGUAAACAAAGCUCGAGUCUUAUAUUUGUGUACAAAUUAUAUAAAGUAAGGAAAUUACCAUUUCUUUGACAAAAUGACCCGUGGCAAACACCCAUAUUAUACCCAUAUUAAUCAUUCUUAUAUAUUAAAAAUAAAAAAUAAAAAAUUGAAAAUGUUGGAAUCAAAUCGUGUCUAAAUUCCUUUAAUUAAGUAAUAUCACUUAUGCAAAGGUAUAACACAUAUAAUUAAUAAAAAGGCUAUUAUUAAUUUAAUAAAUAAGAAGCAUAUUUUUAAGAUAUGCUUACCUUUUUCAUAGCAUUUAAGAUUAAAAAUGAAGGAAAAGAUAGGUGUGAAACGCUUAUAACAACGACGACGCCCAAUUGAUUACAGGAUAUUUAUAUGAGCUAUACAAUUAAACUUUAUUUUCUUUAACUCACGUGUCGGUAAAAAUCGAUAUACAGUAAUUUUUAAGACAACACAAAUACAUGUAUAAUUAUAUUUUAAAGAAUAACAAGAUGUCUAAAUAAAAAUGCAUCCACACAAAUGAGACAGAGCACAUAAAACUCUUAAAAAUAUUUAUCCGGUUAUAUAUAAUAAAAGUAUAAGACAUAAAAAUUUAUUCCAUGUAUAAUUAAUUUGAAAUAAAAAACAAAAAUAUCCAUAAAAAUGCAUGGACUUCAUGAAAUGAGACUUGUUUGAUUUCAAUCUUUUUAUAUUGUGGUUGAUUCUUAAACAUAACGAUAUACUGGUAUAUAAUGUCAAUAGAAUCGGAAGUCAUUGACCUGUUCAGCCAGACAUGUGUAUUGUUGAAGUAGCUGCCAAAAGGAAGUGGGGAAUACAUAAAUGAAUAUCAGACAGAAUAAACAAAAUUAGUCUUGCAUUUAAACCAUUGGAAUGUUUUCAUGUUACACCCCACGCAACAAUAUAGUAAAUGUAUCACAACUCAACAAAUUAUUAUCAUGUAACACUUCAAAAGAAAUAUAAAUGCAUGGUUAUCUUUUAUCAUUUUAGUUUGCUAUGAAGUGGUUCUAACCAAAUGAUCACAAUCUCCAGCACAGGACCCGGUAUCUAAAAAAGUCAUAAUCAUUUCAAAAAGUCGCUUAUAUAUCAUGUCAAGAAUUCCUUUCCUCCUGGCGUAGAUAAUAUAGUAAACUUAAAAAAAAAGAAUCACUUGAACGAAAUCUUUGCUUCACUUUUUCCUGUUCAUUUUAUCUCCUCCUAUUCC